rnacentral:miRNA from 1 species
CCGCAACAAGAAACUGCCUUGA